rnacentral:lncRNA from 1 species
CCCUAACCCUAACCCUAACCCUAACCCUAACCCUAACCCUAACCCUAACCCUAACCCUAACCCUAACCCUAACCCUAACCCUAACCCUAACCCUAACCCAAGGUCUAACCCUAAGCCUUACCUGCACACCUACCUGUUGCACUUAGCUUCAAGUGGGAUCUGUGUCCUGGUAAUGAUGCAUCAAGGCACACCACUGAGUUAGAUUGCACAAGUAUUUGUUUAUUACAGCACUGUUUCCUCAAGACAUGACUUGUACAAUUGUAUGCACACUACAGCAAUGCCUACAUGUUGACAAACAAAACACGAAUAGACUGAUUCCAUACAAUUCCAAGACACCGUUUACAGGCGCAGCACCCGCGUACUCCAUACAAUUCCAAGACACCGUUUACAGGCGCAGCACCCGCAUACUCCAUACAAUUCCAAGACACCGUUUACAGGCGCAGCACCCGCGUACUCCAUACAAUUCCAAGACACCGUUUACAGGCGCAGCACCCGCGUACUCCAUACAAUUCCAAGACACCGUUUACAGGCGCAGCACCCGCGUACUCCGUACAUUUUAAGGCAUGGUUUACAUAUGUGUUAUAUGUCAGACUCACAAGACAAAGGUCACAAAGCCUCCACAUCCAAUAAAUAACAUUACAUUUACACUAAUAUUGUGUACUGCAACCCACCUCAAGAGCAGAGCAGAUCUCAGCCCACCUGAAGUAAAUGCAAGCCUCAGACUGGCCGGGAAGGAGCGCAAAUAGGCUCAGUUGGUUACGGGGUUGGAUUAGCCCUGCGGUACAAACAAACAAAGCAAAGCUAACCCAACCCCGUAAGCAAGGCAAAGCUAAAGCCAAUUUGGCUGAGAUCAAUUGAUUGCAAAGCUAAAGCCAAUUGGGUUGAGAUCAAUUGACUGCAAAGCUAAAGCCAAUUUGGGCAAGAUAAAUUGACUGCACCUGCCAAAAUCGGUGCAACUCUCAGAAUGGCCGCAAAGGGGCGCGAGUCUCAGACUGGCCGGGAAGGAGCGCAAAUGGGCUCCAUUGGCCUCGGGCGUUGGUUACGGGGUUGGGUUAGCCCUGCGGUACAAACAAACAAAGCAAAGCUAACCCAACCCCGUAAGCAACGCAAAGCUAAAGCCAAUUUGGCUGAGAUCAAUUGAUUGCAAAGCUAAAGCCAAUUGGGUUGAGAUCAAUUGACUGCAAAGCUAAAGCCAAUUUGGGCAAGAUAAAUUGACUGCACCUGCCAAAAUCGGUGCAACUCUCAGAAUGGCCGCAAAGGGGCGCGAGUCUCAGACUGGCCGGGAAGGAGCGCAAAUGGGCUCC